UUUCUGGUUCCCAUAAAGAAAUAAAGUUGAACAAGGUUUCCGUUGGUGAACCAGCGGAGGGUCAUUACCGAGUUUACAACUCCCAAACCCCUGUGAACAUACCACUUGUUGCCUCGGCGGAUCAGCCCGCUCCCGGUAAAACGGGACGGCCCGCCAGAGGACCCCUAAACUCUGUUUCUAUAUGUAACUUCUGAGUAAAACCAUAAAUAAAUCAAAACUUUCAACAACGGAUCUCUUGGUUCUGGCAUCGAUGAAGAACGCAGCAAAAUGCGAUAAGUAAUGUGAAUUGCAGAAUUCAGUGAAUCAUCGAAUCUUUGAACGCACAUUGCGCCCGCCAGUAUUCUGGCGGGCAUGCCUGUUCGAGCGUCAUUUCAACCCUCAAGCACAGCUUGGUGUUGGGACUCGCGUUAAUUCGCGUUCCCCAAAUUGAUUGGCGGUCACGUCGAGCUUCCAUAGCGUAGUAGUAAAACCCUCGUUACUGGUAAUCGUCGCGGCCACGCCGUUAAACCCCAACUUCUGAAUGUUGACCUCGGAUCAGGUAGGAAUACCCGCUGAACUUAAGCAUAUCAAUAAGACCCGGAGGAAA
rnacentral:rRNA from 1 species